rnacentral:lncRNA from 1 species
GGACUUUAAUAAUGAUCAGGAAUUUUAAAUAUUUAGUAAGGGUAUUUUAGUUGUAUAUUUAUUGUUCCCCAAGUUAAAUUAAGGUUUGAGUCUCUUUAAAUAGUAAUGUAAUCCCCACAAGUUAAUUACAUAAUAAUUUAUUGAUUAUUAAUAUUGAGGCUACGAGAUAUUUUCCUCUCUUUUGUGGUACCCUUGGUAUAGAGCUUCAACCAAGUUAAUUUUACCUAGUCUUACCAAUUAUUUAUCUCCAAAUUUU